AUGGGUUUAAGAAAUAACAGUGAUGCAAGAAAGGAACAUUAAACAAGAACCCCAAAAGGGCAAUCCAAUAAAACAAAGCUAGUAUAUAUACAAAAUUUUAUCAACCAUGUAAAGAAUAACCACUGCCUUCAGGAAAAUUUGCAGUGGUCUUCCCACCUCCCACCAACCAAUCCCAACUGUGACAUCAUUCUAUUCCCUUUCCAGAAAGAAUUCCUAUUAAUACCUUGUCAUCUUCAAUUUAUCCAAUUCCUUGCAUUGUAGUAUUAGACUAUCAAAAGAAGGCUUUUCAAAUCAAGCGAAGGAUCCAGGUUAACUACCUUUGAAAGCAUUCAUCGUCCUACAUGAAGAUCUUCAGAGGAAACUGCUGCUCGAGGCAUGUUGUCAUUAUCAAAAGCACUUAGACCAGAGUAAGGACCUGAAGAGAAUAUCGAAGAUGUCCCAUCAGACUCGAAAGUAGUUGAUGACUGUCUCAUGUUUGGCCGGGUAUUGGAGGCUGACAUGGAAUCCUGAUACUCUGUGACACGCUGCACCAUUUUGAGUGACUGGACCACUUCACCCAUGGUGGGUCGUUGGUUUGCCUCAGGGGCAACACAAGCAGCUGCAAUGGUACAAACCCGUACAAAAUCUUCUUUUGGAUAUUUUCCCCCCAGCCUUGGAUCAGCAAGCUCUUCUAACCUAUCUUUGUCUCUAAGAAUUGGCCUGGCCCAAGUGACAAGGUUUUCCUGCCCAGAUGGUUGUGACAUAUCCACAGGUUUCCUCCCUGUCAGCAACUCAAGGAGAACAACUCCAUAGCUGUAAACAUCACUUUUUACUAGUAGAUGUCCAGUCAUAGCAUAUUCAGGGGCUACAUACCCAAAUGUGCCCAUGACACGAGUAGAAAGGUAAUUUGCUCUCCCUUCAGGUGCCUGUUUCGCAAGUCCAAAAUCAGCAACUUUAGCAUGAAAGUUGUUCUCAAGCAAUAUAUUUGAUGCCUUGAAGUCUCUGUGGAUAACACAAGGUUGUGAGUCCUCAUGCAGGUAUGCAAGACCUCUUGCAGCAUCAAGUGCAAUCUUCAUUCUGGUGUCCCAAUCCAAAGGACAAUUUAGACCCAGAGGACCAUGUAGCCAGGCCUCUAAGCUUCCAUUUGGUACAAGUUCAUAACACAGUAGAUUUUGCGAAGAGUCCCGACUAGUAUAGUAGCCCACAAGCUUCACAAGAUUGCGGUGAUGCAACCUGCUAAGCAUUUCAACCUCAACUAGAAAUUCUU
rnacentral:misc_RNA from 1 species